rnacentral:rRNA from 1 species
CGCUGGCGGCGUGCCUAAUACAUGCAAGUAGAACGCUGAAGAGAGGAGCUUGCUCUUCUUGGAUGAGUUGCGAACGGGUGAGUAACGCGUAGGUAACCUGCCUUGUAGCGGGGGAUAACUAUUGGAAACGAUAGCUAAUACCGCAUAACAAUGGAUGACACAUGUCAUUUAUUUGAAAGGGGCAAUUGCUCCACUACAAGAUGGACCUGCGUUGUAUUAGCUAGUAGGUGAGGUAAUGGCUCACCUAGGCGACGAUACAUAGCCGACCUGAGAGGGUGAUCGGCCACACUGGGACUGAGACACGGCCCAGACUCCUACGGGAGGCAGCAGUAGGGAAUCUUCGGCAAUGGGGGCAACCCUGACCGAGCAACGCCGCGUGAGUGAAGAAGGUUUUCGGAUCGUAAAGCUCUGUUGUAAGUCAAGAACGGGUGUGAGAGUGGAAAGUUCACACUGUGACGGUAGCUUACCAGAAAGGGACGGCUAACUACGUGCCAGCAGCCGCGGUAAUACGUAGGUCCCGAGCGUUGUCCGGAUUUAUUGGGCGUAAAGCGAGCGCAGGCGGUUUGAUAAGUCUGAAGUUAAAGGCUGUGGCUCAACCAUAGUUCGCUUUGGAAACUGUCAAACUUGAGUGCAGAAGGGGAGAGUGGAAUUCCAUGUGUAGCGGUGAAAUGCGUAGAUAUAUGGAGGAACACCGGUGGCGAAAGCGGCUCUCUGGUCUGCAACUGACGCUGAGGCUCGAAAGCGUGGGGAGCGAACAGGAUUAGAUACCCUGGUAGUCCACGCCGUAAACGAUGAGUGCUAGGUGUUGGAUCCUUUCCGGGAUUCAGUGCCGCAGCUAACGCAUUAAGCACUCCGCCUGGGGAGUACGACCGCAAGGUUGAAACUCAAAGGAAUUGACGGGGGCCCGCACAAGCGGUGGAGCAUGUGGUUUAAUUCGAAGCAACGCGAAGAACCUUACCAGGUCUUGACAUCCCGAUGCUAUUUCUAGAGAUAGAAAGUUACUUCGGUACAUCGGUGACAGGUGGUGCAUGGUUGUCGUCAGCUCGUGUCGUGAGAUGUUGGGUUAAGUCCCGCAACGAGCGCAACCCCUAUUGUUAGUUGCCAUCAUUCAGUUGGGCACUCUAGCGAGACUGCCGGUAAUAAACCGGAGGAAGGUGGGGAUGACGUCAAAUCAUCAUGCCCCUUAUGACCUGGGCUACACACGUGCUACAAUGGUUGGUACAACGAGUUGCGAGUCGGUGACGGCGAGCUAAUCUCUUAAAGCCAAUCUCAGUUCGGAUUGUAGGCUGCAACUCGCCUACAUGAAGUCGGAAUCGCUAGUAAUCGCGGAUCAGCACGCCGCGGUGAAUACGUUCCCGGGCCUUGUACACACCGCCCGUCACACCACGAGAGUUUGUAACACCCGAAGUCGGUGAGGUAACCUUUUGGAGCCAGCCGCCUAAGGUGGGACAGAUGAUUGGGGUGAAGU